rnacentral:rRNA from 1 species
UAGGGAAUCUUCCACAAUGGACGCAAGUCUGAUGGAGCAACGCCGCGUGAGUGAAGAAGGUUUUCGGAUCGUAAAGCUCUGUUGUUGGUGAAGAAGGAUAGAGGUAGUAACUGGCCUUUAUUUGACGGUAAUCAACCAGAAAGUCACGGCUAACUACGUGCCAGCAGCCGAAGUAAUACGUAGGUGGCAAGCGUUGUCCGGAUUUAUUGGGCGUAAAGCGAGCGCAGGCGGAAGAAUAAGUCUGAUGUGAAAGCCCUCGGCUUAACCGAGGAACUGCAUCGGAAACUGUUUUUCUUGAGUGCAGAAGAGGAGAGUGGAAUUCCAUGUGUAGCGGUGGAAUGCGUAGAUAUAUGGAAGAACACCAGUGGCGAAGGCGACUCUCUGGUUUGCAACUGACGCUGAGGCUCGAAAGCAUGGGUAGCGAACAGG